UACGGAGGGUCCUAGCGUUGUUCGGAAUUACUGGGCGUAAAGCGCGCGUAGGCGGCCUUGUAAGUUAGAGGUGAAAGCCCGGGGCUCAACCCCGGAAUUGCCUUUAAGACUGCAUCGCUUGAAUCCGGGAGAGGUGAGUGGAAUUCCGAGUGUAGAGGUGAAAUUCGUAGAUAUUCGGAAGAACGCCAGUGGCGAAGGCGGCUCACUGGACCGGCAUUGACGCUGAGGUGCGAAAGCGUGGGGAGCAAACAGG
rnacentral:rRNA from 1 species